rnacentral:SRP_RNA from 1 species
GCCGAGCUCAGUAAUGCGAGCUUGUAACUCAAGUGAGGGCAUCAAGGUGGCUGAACAUUGGUUGGGUUCAACUCGGUAGGAUCUGGUGUGUGCAAUGAACUGAUUCGCCCGUUCCAAGUUGGGAGUUGAGUCAUGUGAUCCAGGCCAAGGCUUGGGUUGUGUGGUUCUUAGAGAGGAGGGUACAGCGUCAGGCUGGCUUCACAGAGCAGCGAAGACCUCCCUCUCUUGACAGUGGAAGGAUAACGAGUUGGUGCACCCCAGACCCAUUAACACUGAGUGAGCUCAACUCAGUUGAACAUCCAUUUUU